rnacentral:rRNA from 1 species
GAUGAACGCUGGCGGCGUGCCUAAUACAUGCAAGUCGAGCGAACAGACGAGGAGCUUGCUCCUCUGACGUUAGCGGCGGACGGGUGAGUAACACGUGGAUAACCUACCUAUAAGACUGGGAUAACUUCGGGAAACCGGAGCUAAAACCGGAUAAUAUAUUGAACCGCAUGGUUCAAUAGUGAAAGACGGUUUUGCUGUCACUUAUAGAUGGAUCCGCGCCGCACUAGCUAGUUGGUAAGGUAACGGCUUACCAAGGCAACGAUGCGUAGCCGACCUGAGAGGGUGAUCGGCCACACUGGAACUGAGACACGGUCCAGACUCCUACGGGAGGCAGCAGUAGGGAAUCUUCCGCAAUGGGCGAAAGCCUGACGGAGCAACGCCGCGUGAGUGAUGAAGGUCUUCGGAUCGUAAAACUCUGUUAUUAGGGAAGAACAAAUGUGUAAGUAACUAUGCACGUCUUGACGGUACCUAAUCAGAAAGCCACGGCUAACUACGUG